GAGAGAAAUAAAGACGAUGGAGAA
rnacentral:siRNA from 1 species